UACAUGCAAGUCGAGGGGCAGCGCGGGGUAGCAAUACUCUGGCGGCGACCGGCAAACGGGUGCGGAACACGUACGCAACUUUCCCAAAACUGGUGAAUAGCCCUCCGAAAGGAGGAUUAAUACACCGUAACAUAACGAGGCGGCAUCGCUUUGUUAUUAUAGCUCCGGCGGUUUUGGAUGGGCGUGCGGCUGAUUAGGUAGUUGGCGGGGUAACGGCCCACCAAGCCUGCGAUCAGUAACUGGUGUGAGAGCACGACCAGUCACACGGGCACUGAGACACGGGCCCGACUCCUACGGGAGGCAGCAGUAAGGAAUAUUGGUCAAUGGACGAAAGUCUGAACCAGCCAUGCCGCGUGAAGGAUGAAGGUCCUCUGGAUUGUAAACUUCUUUUAUCUGGGACGAAAAAUGGGAAUUCUUUCUCACUUGACGGUACCAGAGGAAUAAGCACCGGCUAACUCCGUGCCAGCAGCCGCGGUAAUACGGAGGGUGCAAGCGUUAUCCGGAUUCACUGGGUUUAAAGGGUGCGUAGGUGGGCAGGUAAGUCAGUGGUGAAAUCUCCGGGCUUAACUCGGAAACUGCCAUUGAUACUAUCUGUCUUGAAUAUCCUGGAGGUGAGCGGAAUAUGUCAUGUAGCGGUGAAAUGCUUAGAUAUGACAUAGAACACCAAUUGCGAAGGCAGCUCGCUACGGGAUUAUUGACACUGAGGCACGAAAGCGUGGGGAUCAAACAGGAUUAGAUACCCUGGUAGUCCACGCCCUAAACGAUGGAUACUCGACAUACGCGAUACACUGUGUGUGUCUGAGCGAAAGCA
rnacentral:rRNA from 1 species